rnacentral:misc_RNA from 1 species
UUUUGUUGUUUCAGCUCAUCCCACCCAAAACCAAAAGUCUGGCAAGUCAGUGGCUGCCAUGUUUUGCAAGACGCCAGAAGAAGUUGUUGCUGACAGGCAUAAAAAUAAAACCACUCAGUCAACUCUUGAAGCUUGCACAAAGAAAGGAAAGGAAGCCAAGCAAAUUGUUAACGACCAUGUCGCAGAUUUUCUAUAUGAGAACAAAAUACCAUUGCACGUCGUCAAUUCAAGGAGCUGGGAGGUUAUGUUGGAGUCAAUUGGGCAAUUUGGUCCUGGAUACCGUGGUCCAUCGUACCAUGAUGUUAGGGUGCCUUGGCUUGAUAGGGCUGUCGAUAGGACAACAACAUUAAGGUCGAAGCAUGAACAAGCUUGGAAGGAAUAUGGCUGCUCAAUUAUGUCAGAUGCAUGGACCGAUACAAGACAGCGG